rnacentral:rRNA from 1 species
AUGGCAACUGCUCCGCGGCGCCUUCUCCUGCUUCUCCUCGCCGCCGUUGCCAUGUCCUCCUCUUGCGUCGGCGUCGCUGUAGCAGAGGGACAGACAUACUGGCCAUUUAAUCCUUACUGCUCGACCACGGGCAACUACACAGGGGAUAGCCGGUACCGGCUGAAUCUUCUGGCUCUCGUGGCCGACCUCCCGGCGCGUGCCAUCGACAAUCGCUUCUACUACAACGGCACGGCCGGCGAAUCGCCGGACGAGGUGUUCGGUCUCAUCGCGUGCUAUGCCGACCGCAGCUGGAACCAGUGCCACGACUGCCUCUACGCCGCGGUUUCCGGGAUACAGCAGUCGUGCCCGUUCAGCCGGCAGAUGAAGGGCGCCUACGACUCGUGCCUUCUCCGCUACUCCAACGAAUCCUUCGUCUCCGUCGCCGACCUCACCGUCGCCUUCUACUCGUGGGACUACACCAAGGUGGACUAUCCGGCCAGCAUGAACAACACGAGGUGGGAUCUGCUCACCCGGCUAGCGGCGGAGGCCGCGCGUUCGCCGCUGCGGCUCGCCAACGGUAGCGUGCCGUAUUCGCCGACGAGCAUCCACGGUCUGGUGCAGUGCACGAGGGACCUGAACGCAAGCGAGUGCAGCAGGUGCCUUACCAAAUUCGUGUCAAACCUCUCGAGUGUGUUCCCUAACAACACCGGUGGUUUGAUAAAGGGCUACAGCUGCUACGCCAUAUACAACAUCGGCGACGGCGAGUUCCUCCGUGUCACUCUUCCACCGCCACUUGCACAGCCACCGCCGUCCAAUAUCUCACCAGAAGCUCCGCCACUUGCCACCGGCCGGACUAGGAGCAGGAAGCAGCUGGUGGCCGGCGUGUCUGCUGGUGUCGUCGUUGGGUUCGUCAUCUCAUCAAGUCUCUUGAUUUGUUUCCUUUUGCGCUGUCGGAGGCGAAAUCGCAUGGCGAGUCAAGUAGAUACUUUUGAUGAUGAUCCAUUGGGAGAUGAGUUCGAGAAAGGGACCGGGCCCAAGCGGUUUCGGUAUAAUGAUCUUGCCGCCGCCACUAGCAACUUCUCUGACGAGAAGAAGCUAGGUGAAGGUGGCUUCGGUUCCGUGUACAAAGGAUUCUUGAAGGAGCUUAAAGUUGAGGUGGCUAUAAAAAGAGUGUCCAAAACCUCCAAGCAGGGGAGGAAGGAGUACAUCUCAGAGGUGAAAAUCAUAAGCCGGCUGAGACAUCGAAACCUCGUACAACUCAUUGGCUGGUGCCAUGGCGGCGGCGAGCUCUUGCUUGUUUACGAUCUUAUGCCCCACGGCAGCCUAGACACUCACCUUUACAGUUCAAACGCCACAUUAUCGUGGCCACUCAGGUAUGAGAUCGUGUUGGGGUUAGGGUCGGCACUUUUGUACCUGCAUCAGGACUGGGAGCAAUGUGUUCUGCACCGUGACAUCAAGCCAAGCAACAUCAUGUUAGACGCGUCUUUCUGUGCCAAACUUGGCGAUUUUGGGCUCGCGCGGCUUGUCGACCACGGCCGAGGACCAUACACAACAGGUCUUGCAGGAACAAUGGGCUACAUGGACCCUGAGUGCGUGGUCACCGGAAGGACUAGCGCUGAGUCUGAUGUCUACAGCUUCGGCGUUGUCAUGCUCGAGAUCGCCUGCGGGAAGCGGCCCGCGGUUGCUCGGGGACGAGAGGAUAUCAUCCAUCUAGUGCAAUGGGUCUGGGAUUCAUGGGAACACGGAAGGACCCUUGAUGCGGCCGAUGCGCAGCUCAACCUAGAGUUCGACGACCGGGAGAUGGAGUGCAUGGUGGUGGUCGGGCUCUGGUGCGCGCACCCUGACCGGAGCCUGAGGCCGUCCAUCAAGCAAGCUAUGAACGUGCUACGAUUUGAGGCGCCUCUGCCAAGCCUUCCAGCAAAGAUGCCCGUCGCGACAUUUACGGCGGCAAUUGAUUCUUCAUUAGUUUCCGCAUCUGAGCUUUCAGGUGGCAGAUGA